GUACUCACUUUGGCAACACAUAUACUAAAACUGGAACAAUACAGAGAAGAUUAGUGUACCCCCUGCACAAGGACAACACACAAAUUCAUGAAACAUUCCAUAUUUUU
rnacentral:snRNA from 1 species